rnacentral:rRNA from 1 species
GAUGAACGCUGGCGGCGUGCCUAAUACAUGCAAGUCGAGCGAACAGACGAGGAGCUUGCUCCUCUGACGUUAGCGGCGGACGGGUGAGUAACACGUGGAUAACCUACCUAUAAGACUGGGAUAACUUCGGGAAACCGGAGCUAAUACCGGAUAAUAUAUUGAACCGCAUGGUUCAAUAGUGAAAGACGGUUUUGCUGUCACUUAUCGAUGGAUCCGCGCCGCAUUAGCUAGUUGGUAAGGUAACGGCUUACCAAGGCAACGAUGCGUAGCCGACCUGAGAGGGUGAUCGGCCACACUGGAACUGAGACACGGUCCAGACUCCUACGGGAGGCAGCAGUAGGGAAUCUUCCGCAAUGGGCGAAAGCCUGACGGAGCAACGCCGCGUGAGUGAUGAAGGUCUUCGGAUCGUAAAACUCUGUUAUUAGGGAAGAACAAAUGUGUAAGUAACUAUGCACAUCUUGACGGUACCUAAUCAGAAAGCCACGGCUAACUACGUG